AUAAAUUUAUUUACUUAAUUUGACUGACAACCACUGAACAAAGAAAAUACUAAAUAAAGCAUUUUCGGGGCCGUCCGGGUUUGGUGGUUGUCUGGUUUUGGUGGUCCCAAACCAGUAUAUAAAACAAUAUUCAGAUUUACAUGUACGUAUAUAUAAAUUUAUAUUUAGAUAUAUAUUUUGCAUUAUUAAACAUGUAAAUGUACAUAAAUAAAAUCAAUACUUAAUUUCAGAUAGGACAUCCAUGAUUUACACACCAAUGGUCAUAUGAUGAUUAUCUAAUGUUCAGCUGUCUCUUGUAUCAAGAUGAUACAAGCCACAUUACCCAACCAUGCUGAUGGAACAAACAACGAUAUGAAGGGCGUUGCAUUUCGAAACCCGUUGUGCAUUUCUGAUUUCGGGAUCUACAAGUAAAUAUCAACAUGGCAACAGAUUCUACAACGUGCGUAUUUUGUGCGCAGGAUAUCCAGAAUAGGUCCCAAUUGUCACUCUCAGAGAGAAGGGAAGCAACAGUGUUAACCAUGCUAGCGAUCUGAGGAAUUCAAGUAUACAAGUAUACGAACAAUUACAGGCCAAAUUGUGCACCAAGACUGUAGAAGGGACUUUAUUCACAAUAGAAACAUUUCAAAUAGUUCCAAUGUUAAGUGUAACCAAGUUAAAAGACCUUUAAGAUCAAAUGCUUAUUUUGCUUUUAAGUGUAAUUGCUUGUUCUGUGGUAAGCCUGUAAAGUUGCAUCUGGUAAACGUAGAUGUUCAUCCUGGUAGAAGUUUUGAUUUUCAGGAAACACAUCGUCGGAACCCACGGUACACAUUCCGUAUAUACUACAUUUAAUAUUAUUACCAAUACAUAUAUACGGUAAAUAGCCUGGGUUACCGAGGAUGCAGGAAACAAUACAACUCAAAUGUUCUGAGAGAAACAAUCAAACUCAAAUGUUCUGAGAGAAACAAUCUGUGGGGAAAUGUUGUUUUAAACAGACUGUUGUCAGUUUUGGAUUUUCGUCAGAUUCGAAGAAUUAUAUUUCAGAUCAGACAAUGAAAACCCAAAUAGUUUGGCAUAUAUAUUCAAAAGACACCAAAAUGUGAUUGGAAUAGAGAUUUGUUAUCUCCUACCAUUCCUGCACGCUUUCUCUGGUUGCGACAGUUCUUAAAAUAAUGUGUAAAAAUAUAGUGUUCCGGCAAAAUGCUGCAAUAUUUCAUUCUUCAAUAAACAAAGAAGAAAUUAUUACAGGUGGUGAAAAUGCCAUGAGGAUAUUAUAUGAUGGAGCUAGGGAGAUAAAUUUGAACAGACUGAGAUUUCACAAAUUUGUAAGUAAAACCAUGUCAAGUUCAUCUGUUAUUCAAGUUCAAAGCAUUCCGCCUACGUCUGAUGCUGCGGCGCAACACUCUAUACAGUCAUAUUUUCAAACAUAAACAUGGAUUGGAAAUGAUAAAUUAGAUCCAACUGAAUGGGGAUAGGAACUUCUCUAAGGACUCUUGUACCCACGAAA